ACCCCGAAGUUAUUUCCAAACAUCCAAUUUGAGUGGUGGGGUUAGCUAAUUCCAUCCCAAAUGGGCUAUUCCGGGAUAGCCCAUUUGGGGUGGAGUUAGUUGACCCCACCUUACCCCACUAUUCCAACCAAACAAAAUACUAUUUUACCCAGUAUCCUUCUUAUUCCACCUAGUCCAACCAAACACUAUUUUACCUAUAUCUAGACUAAACCCAAUUCUCAACCAAACACAUAAUUACUCUAGCCCCAUCUUAACCCUGAACUUAACUCUAUCCCUGAAAUAACAAGUUUUUACUUAACUCCGAACCAAACGGCGGGAGUGUUUGUUUGGAUGGAAGUGAGGGGGAAGUGGAGAGGGGGGAAAUUGUUUACGUCGUAAACUAUCAUUUCCGUUGUUUGGUUCGCCGUAAAAUAGUUACGGCCGAAACUCGAGUUAACCCGAAAUGGCAUAAUUGACUUCGGCCCAUUGUGGGCCGAAAUCAAUUACGGUGAAGGAGGGUGAAGAAAAAAUAAUAAAAUAAUAUACUAGAUACAGAUAAUUAUAUUUAAUUAUGGUAUUAAUUAUUUUUUUAUUCGGUUGACAUAUCUAAAAUAUGAUAAAAAUUGAUUAAUCAAGUAUUAAUUUUUUUUACUUCAUGGUUUUAUUGUUGUAUUAUUAUAAUUUAUGUAUAAAAAAAUAAUUUAGUUGUUUUAAAUUAAAUUUUAAUUAUAUAAAAUAUAAUUAUAUUAUUUUUAUUUAUUAAAUUAUUUAUUAUUUAUAUAUAAAUUAUAGUUUUACAGCAUACACUUUCUACCAAACAAACAGCAGAACUAAUGAAACUCCGCUUCCAUAACUACAAAACAAACAACGAAAAAUAAAUAGUUUUCACCGAACUCCACCUCAAUUCAAAGUCCACUUCAACCCAAAGUCAAGUUUCUGUGAAAUAAACAUGCCCUAAGAGUCCAUUUGUUUUGAUGUAUAUGGAGUGAUAGAACUCAAGUUCCAUCACUUUCGUUAUUUAUUUUGAUGUAAGUCAAAAAUAUAAUAUAACUCUUACCUACUCUCGAUUUCCUCUUCUAAAGUAUCGAACUCGACUUCCGCCACUCUCAAUUCCUCUAAAAUAUUUAUUAAAUAGUAAAAUAUAAACUCUACUUUCUUUAUAAUAGAUUAGAAUUAUCUUAUUUAUAAUAAUUAGAAUUACCUUUAUAUAAUAAUAAAAAAUUUAAUUAUCUAAUAGAUUAAAUUUUAUAGCGGUAAAUUUAUCACUAAAUUUAGGAGAUAACGGAAUCCACUUGCUUACAUCAAAACAAACAACGAAACUCAAAAAAUUAAUUUUUACCAGCAUCAAGUUACAUCAAAACAAUCAGAAGAAGUAAUUGAAUUUAAUUUUCAGACUGUACGAGUUACGUUAAAACAAACAACAAAAAUAUAAUCACAUUUCUUUUCUUUAUUUUUUUGAGAGAUAGGUAGCACGCUACCCGCUUCGUUUAUUUCAUUUAGAAAUAAACUUAGCUGGAAAUGUGAAUCAACUAGGAUUCGAACUUGGGUUUCGGGUACCAACCAUCAAGCCCUUUGCCACUUGCUCUAGGAAAGGUCGGUAAUAUAAUCACAUUUUAGAAAAACUCAAAUACCACUAUACUUGACUUACGUUAGAUCUACAUAUUCAUCAAUCCAAACGCUCCCUAUGCGUUCACAAGUACAGCUUUGUUACAUAUAAGAAACUCACAUUAGGUUUUAUAUCCAAUAUUUCUCAAUAGUUUUCAGUGAACUAAUGAGCAUGGAAGGUUUCAAUAAGAGCUUCUGAUUUUAGGGAUAUAGUUUAUUUUGACGACUUAGACUUGAACAAACGCCAAUAAGGUUCUAUAUGUUAAAUUAUAUAAAAUGAUCAUUAUUUUGCAAAAAAUUAAGCCGGUAAAAAUAAUAUUUAAAUAAUUUUAUAUAUAUUUAACAUCCUCUUUCAUAUUUGUGUUUGAGACUUCUCGCUAGACCCAUUACAUAAACUUAAAUUAAAUGGAAAAAAAUUAAUAACGUUAGCAGUUUGACGUGAGUCAGCUACUGCUUUGAUACCAUAUUAAAUAGUAGAAAAUAACUGUUAUUCUUCAAAAACUUAAACUUAAACUUUAAGUUUGUGGAGAAUAUAAUUGUUUUAUAUAAUUUAACAAGUUGUACAAUGCUUUUUGUUUUGAAAAAAAUUUAUUUUUACACUUUAUUAUAGAAUUAUGACAUGCAAAAGUUGGAUAAGCAACCUGAAAAUAGUCUUAAGACAAUAACACUUUUGUGUAUCGGAUCCGUAUUACGAUCCGAAGCCCAUUACGACCAAUUUAAGCUGAUACUGAAUCACAUGCGCGCAUGCCUAAACACAUGAGCGUUUCUUCACACAGAGAUUAAAAUAAGCUUUAGCUUUUAGCAAAUGAUUCAUCCUUUUGUUAAGAAAUUAUUGCCUGAACCUGGUGUAUAAGUUUCUCUCCAGCACCACAUCCAUUAUUGAUUGGUAAUGUUAUAAAAUCAAAAUCUAGCUAGCCAAAUAUAUUUUACGACACAUAAAGGGCCCAUAAAAAAAAAUUAUAUGCUUUGAAAAUGUAAAUUUGAAAUUAGCGGUACAACUAUAAGAAAUUGGUUGUGAAAUUUAUUAAUUUUGUCACGUUGUUUUAGUAAUAAAUAUGAUAUUUCGAAUUUUAGACUACUAUUUAUAUAUAAAGAUGGCUAAAUAUAUGUCUGUCUAUAUAUCGAUUUUGUCACAAAACUCUCAAUUUUUUUAAAAAAACUAUUUUUACCUUCUUAGUUAAUAUAAUAAUAAUAAUUAUAUUGAAGAAAUAGAUGGCAAAAUUAAUUAUUUAGAAAAUAUAAUACAUUUUUUUAAUUUUGAUGGAUAUGUGCAACGCAUAAUAUUAUUAAGAAAUAAUAUGCAUUUUUGCCGGUAAGAGUUUUCAGAGUUCACCGACUGUCUAUAACAUAAAUGGCAAAAUAUUUGAUGGUUGAUAUAUGAGGUUCUAAAUUCGAAAUCUAGCUAUUUCACGUUUACAGUUAAAUUUAUUUCGUACAAAAAAAAAAAAACUGAAUAAACUUCCGGUUCUGUUGCAUUAUUAUGCAUUUUUUAAGUUUCUAAAAACACCAUAAUUGGGAGACAAAAAGAAGCGCGUCGUUUUGGCAAAGGACAAGCCCAACCAGCGAGUGUACAGCGGAUAAUUAUAUAUACACCCCCCACCCGAGAAAUGAAAAACAAAAAUAACAAAAAGAUAAGGCAACGUUAAGUUGCCUCGAACCAAAAAAAAAAAAAAAAAAAAAACCCACACAUAACAUAUAUACACACCAGGGAGAGAGAGAGAGAGAGAGAGAUGAUACAGUUGUAGUAGUAGCAUCGCAUUCCCAUUUUACCCCCCCAAAAUCCCCAAUCCCCUCUCCUCUGCGCCUUAAUCGAUCUCAUCCCUAAUUCCCACCAAUGCGCCAUUCCCGCCCCUUCUUCUCCUUCGUCGUCGUCGUCCUCCUCCUCGUCGUCGUCGUCGUCGUCGUCGUCGCCUCCUCCUCCCAUGGCGACCUCGCCCGUUCCCUCCGCCUCGAGCUCUCGGCGGCGCCGAUCGCCGCCGCCGCGUCGCGGAUCGACCGCCUCCGCGCGAUCGCGCGGAGCGACCAGCUCCGGCAAGGCGUGAUCGCGGCGGCGAUGGCGCGGCGGCGGAGGGCGUGCGAGGCCCCGGCGGCGGCGCCGGCGGCGGCGGAGGGGCCGGAGUCGGCGUUCGCGAUGCCGCUGAGCUCGGGGGCGUACACGGGGACGGGGCAGUACUUCGUGCGGUUCCGCGUGGGCACCCCGGCGCAGCGCUUCGUGCUCGUCGCCGACACCGGGAGCGACCUCACCUGGGUCAAGUGCCGCCUCCGCCGCCGCCGCCGCCGCCGCCACCACCUUUCCCACGGCGGCGACGGCGCCGGCGCCGGCGCUAGGGUUUUCCGGCCGGAGAAGUCGUCGUCGUGGGACCCGAUCCGGUGCUCGUCGGAGAUGUGCAAGACGUCGCUGCCCUUCUCCCUCGCCACGUGCCCCACCCCGACCACCCCCUGCGCCUACGACUACGGGUAAUGCAUCUACCUGGAUUUUUAUUACAAGAAAAUAAAUAAACUAUUUAAGAUUACGCAAAUAUAUAUCUAACCCAUUUCGGAUCCUGCAUAUUAUAAAUGAGUCCUAUAUAUUUUUCAAAAAUUAGAGAGAGAAGUAUAAUUUUAUCUAUUUUUGUUCAAAUUCCGUUUUGCAUAUAUAUAGGCCUUAGUACCGCGAGAAGUUUGGGGAGAUUCGAACAAGAAUGUCUCUGCAUGUCAUGAUAUCAUCAUGUUGUUUACAACCUCGAAUGUUGAUCUACGCAUCAACACAAACAAUCACUAGUGUAGCAAAAUCCGUUUCUCUUCUAAUACUAUUUGGCUUGUUUUUUUUUUGGUUGCGGGGGUUUUCUAAUUUAAGCAAGUGGAGUUAAAUGGCGUGCCCCAGUUUCUUUCCCCACUGGGUAGAAGAUGACUCCUCUUUAGUAGAGAGAGAGAGAGAUGAGAGAUGGUUAGGUAAUUGUUGGGGAGGGGAGUGGGAGUGGGAGUGGGGAGUUGGGUUGGUUGGGUCAUACACUCAUACUGUGUGUGUUGUUUAGUAUUAGGUGGUCGCAUUGAUUCCGCCGUAUUUGGAUGGUGGGGCUUUUCUGAAGCUCUGAACUGCUUUAAAUGCCUACUCUUUUUUUUUUUCCUAUUUUUCUUUACUAAGUUAUAUUUUCAUAUCAUAUGUUCAUUAAUAAUAUAUUUUGAUCUACUAAUUCAAAGGUAUAAUAUAUUUUUUUACCAAGUUACUAAUGUACCAUAAAAUUGCAAAUAUUUCACUGUUCACUAUUAUAUUUUUUAUCUUUAUUUUUCUUGAGACUUAUGUGAUCAAUGGCGUGUUUUUGAUAUUUUUUUUUUGUGAAACUUUUCAUCAGAUCUAUACUACUGGUAGUGCUAGGAAUGAACUUCUCUUUAUUUGACCAAAUUAUAUUUUUAUUUCUAUAGCUAAAUAAAUGUGAAAAACCUUUGUGCAAAAAUUUGGUACGGCCGUUGUUUUAUGGCUUCAAUCUCACUCUCAAUCUUUAUCAUCAUUUUAUAUGUUUUCUUAGUAUUGAAAAAAAAAAAAAUUUUUUGUCUAAAGACCACUUCAAAGUAAAAAUGAGUAAAAGUUUGAUAUAAAAAAGAGGAUGUUGGCUUGAAUGUACCGUCAUCCCACUAUGUGGCAGGAGAUUAGAUUGGACUGAGUUACGUUUACAAUAACAUGAGGUCGAGUUAGGUUGAGUCAUGUUCGAAAUAACAUAAGAUUUGUUAGAUCGAAUCAUAAUCAAGAUUUGUAGGCGUUGUGCCUGUACGUUCUAAGUGAAUUGGUUGCAUGUUUCUAACUGUCCGAAUUUGUUUAAUUGAUAGUUAGCAUCAACAAUCGGACAAGUGGUAUUAUAGCUCCAUGAGUUAGGCGCCAACAUGACAAUAGUGUACAAAUGAUUCCUUGCGAGGAUCAUACAAGAAUUUUAAAAGCAACUGAUAAACGACUGCUUAUAUUGUAUAUUUAUUAGAAAAUUUUUUAUAUAAUUUUCUUCUCUCUCAUGCUAUCAUAUAGAUUUAUAAGCACAUUAAUAGUGUUUGGUCGAUUGUUGGUGAGGACCUCAGUUUCCUUUGUAGAAUAUGAUGUAUUAUUUCUCGUAUUGAUUAAAUGCUCAAUCUUAGGUUCCAAUUAGAGUUGUCAUCUAACUAUUGGGCCCAAACUCUAACAACAAUAAAUAAUAAAAUACAAAGCAUUUAGAUUCUAAUUAUUGGCGUAACCUCGUAUUUGAUGCGACCAAUUACAAAAUAUGCACCUGACCACGAACCAACCAUAUAGAUUAGGCUAAAUUAAUGAUGUUUUUGGACCAGCUUGGGAAAGUACUAUUUGUUUUCUUAUUUGUUGUUAUUAUUUACAUUAAUUGUUGCUGAAAUAAAUAAAUAUUAAAAAGAUUAGGCAUUAAUGUGGUUCUAUUCUCGGUGACUUGGUAAAAGUGGUUAUACCUCUCACUAAAUAAAUUGAUUAACUUCUAAUGAAGCUGCAUAAAUACUAUUCGACUGUGUUUGGUUCAAACAUUGCAACAUUUCUAAUUAUUGCAACAUGAUAAAAAACUUGAUUCUAGUGAAUUGGAUUAAACUAAUACUAUAUUACCACAUUUGGUUCUGUAUAGUAAUAUAGUAUCAGAUUGAAAUAAGGAGGUGAGAAAAUAUUUCGGGUGUGUGGAGAAUUAGUUUUUUAAUUUUUUGUACAAUAAUAUGUAACCAAUAAUGCGAGAUACUCAUUCCCUUCCCCUGUAUUUUUGACACACCCUAAGAUUUGGAAUAGUCCAAGAUUUGAACCAACUUUAAUUGUGACACUCCAAAAUUUAAAAUAGUCCUAUAUAUAACGUAUAAUGCAACUAAGUUUUUUAAGGCGGCUAUAUAAAACUCGAAAAUCUAUAAUCUAUUAAUAAUCUAAGCAAUUCGUAAAUGAAUGUCAAAAAAGAUAUCUUAGGUAAAUAAUUAAAAUUUUAUCCACCAGGAAGACAUUCUUUUGGAGAUAUUCUUGUAAUCCAUUUGAGAAACCGGCCUUAUUAAAUGUUUAAACCGUUUGCACUUUUUAAGUUUUGGACUCGUAGCAUUCGCUUUUCGAUCGCGUUACAGCGCCCGCUUUAGCGGGCCCUAUGCCACUAAAGCGGCUAUUCUGAACCCGAUUUGUUAAAUUUCGGCUUAGAGAUUAAGCCGUAGUUGUAGCACAUAAAAUUCGCUAUAGCAUACACUAUGACAGGCAUAGUGGCUAUUAUUUAAAAAAUUACAUAUAUAUAAGAUAAAAUAGGAUUAAAUUUUUUAAUUCGGUUAUAUCAUUUUGGGUAGUGCUAGAAUUAGAGUAAUUUAAGAUAGAUGAUCCUCUUGAAAAGUACGGCUUUACUGUAAUAAUUUGAAAAACUUCUUGCAAAAUCUCUAAUAACUCUGUCACCAUAGUCCCAACUGAAUGCGUUCUGUAAAAAAUGAGUCAAUUUGCUGAACUGUUUUGGCAGUAAAGUUGAUAUUAAAAACCCAAAGCUGCCAAAAGAAAAAAAAAAUAAAAUAAAAUAAAAUAAAAUAAAAAGCAUGUAUGUAAUAUUGAACCUCCCAAAACUAUUCUUUGUGAUACAAGGUGAAAGGGAACUGCGAUCAAGAUUUUAUAGUUGUGUUUGUAUUUUCUUGGAAAAAGAAAGCUAAUUAUGCAAUUGGUCCUUAAUCUCUACCUAAUCUUUUAUUUGAUUCCUAAUCAUUAAAUUUAUGUAUUUAAUUCCUUAAUUCGUAUUGCUUGUUUCAAUCACAUUUUUUCCGCAAAAAAAGUUCAUUGACUUUGAUGCAAAUUGCCGUGGGGCAGUAUUUGUUUCUCGUGUGAAAAAAUUUAUCUGAAUUAUCAAAUAUGUUGAUAGAAGAAAUUUAGUUAUUAAAAUAUAACGAAUAAAUACUGGAGAUUUAAUUAAAAAUUUUAUAUAUAUAUAUAUAUAUAUAGAGAGAGAGAGAGAGAGAGAGAGAGAGUAGGUCAUUUUACUUUUAUCAGAAUAGAGUCUUUCGUAUUCAUAAGUUGUUUUUGAUAAUUGGGCUUCCGAAUCGACGAUCCACUCCGUUAAAUAUGAUUUAGAGUAUUUGAAACUUAUAGAAAAUAAAUUUCGUAAUUUUUCGAAAUCAUAAUAAAGUUCAUCAAGCGGAUAUAAAAUGAACGGUCAAAAUCGAACGGCAUCUUAAAAAUGGAUGAUCGGAUCCUUCAAUUUAAGAUCAGAGUUAUUGAUCUUUAUCUAAAUAGUGAAUAGAAUUUUUUGUAAAAAAUUCAACCUAUUCUAAUUCUUUUACACUGUUAAAUUAUCAAGUAUUCCAUACCGGCCGUUAAAAAUUGUCAAUUUUGUAAUCUUCUGAUCAAAUUAUGUCGAAAAAUUAUGAACUUUGAUUUGUAGAAGUUUUAAAUGUUCUAAAUAAUAUUUAACGAUAUGGAUUGUCGAUUCGGAAGUUUUAUCAUCGAAAACAACUUAUGAGUACAAGAGCGAUUGUACUCAUAAGAGUAUAGUAGCCGAACCGGACCCUAUUUAUAAGGAAAUUCGUGCUUCUAACUCUUUGGGCCUUGGAUCAACCUCUUUGACUAUUUCUGACCUUUGAAUUAAUAUUAUUAUUCUAGAAGACCACUCAAACCUAGGGGAACCAUUCAACCCAACCCCUUCAACUAUUUCUGACAUUUGGAUUAAUAUUAUUAUCCGGAAAGACCACUCAAACCUAGGAACAUUCAACCCUAAGGAAACCAUUAUCAUCCCGACCAUAUAAUUUUUUAUUCAAGGACUAAAAAAUCGAAAGCAUCAAUUUUUUUAUACUUUCAAUAACAUAAUAGCUCUACUAUAUAUAUAUAUAUAUAUAUAUAUAGGGAUAAUUACCUAUAUAUAUAUAGUCCGACUACUAUACUCUUAUGAGUAUGAUCGCCCUCGUACUCAUAAAUUAUUUUUGAUGAUAGAGCUUCCGAAUCGACGAUCUAUACCGUUAAAUAUUAUCUAGAGUAUUUAAAACUUCUAGAAAUUAAAUUUUAUAAUCUUUCGAUAUAAUUUACCUUACGAUCAAAAGCUCACAAAAUUGACAAUUUUUAACGAUCGGUAUGGAAUAUUUGCUAGUUUAACGGUGUAAAAGAAUUGGAAUAGAUUGAAUUUUUGAUAGAAAAUUCUAUUCACUAUCUAAAUAAAAAUUAAUAACUCCGAUAUUAAAUUGAAGGAUCUGAUCAUUCAUUUUUAGGAUGUCGUUCAAUUUUUACCGUUCAUUUUAUACCCGCUUGAUGGACUUUAUAAUAAUUUCGAAAAAUUAUAAAAUUUAUUUUUUAAAAGUUUUAAAUACUCUAGAUCAUGUUUAACGGUGUGGAUCGUUGAUUCGAAAACCCCAACAUCGACAACAACUUAUGAGUACAAAUGACUCUAUAUUCAUAAGAAUAUAAUAAUCCUCUCUCUCUCUCUCUCUCUCUAUAUAUAGUCUCUGAUUACAAUGCUAUCGAUAGCAUGAAGUACUUGGUGCUACCAAAUUUUUUGCUGCUAAAUUCACCCCUAUGACCAUUUCUCUCUCAACAUAUAGAGAGAGAAAGUUCGACUGCUAUAAUAUCAAUAGUACCAAACUCUUGAUACUAUCAAAUUUUUUACCGUUAAAUCUACUCAUUAAUCAUUUUUACUUGUUAGAUUAUCGUAUUCAACCAACGACCCACUCAACCCUAAAAAUCACUAUCAUUCUAACCGUACAUUCUUUCAUCCAACUGUCGAAAACUAGAUAGCGCUAACCGUUUAGUACUAUUGAGAUUUUCAUAAUUAGAUCUAUUUUCUUAACCAUUUCCGUCCGUCAGAUGUAUAUUUCCUUUUUCGGGAUGUAUAACAUGCAUUUUUUUUUGUUUGUUUUCGGAAAAAAAUGUACGGAGACUUAGGAUCAAUUAAUACGAUUUUUAAUGGAGUAUAGAGAAUUCGCAAAAUUGCCGCUCACAAAAUAAGUAAGUAAUUGUUGUUGUCGACGAGUUCAUUUCCAGAAUGUUGACGAUGAUCAUCAUCAUCGUUAUAUUAAGGAUUAAUUUGCAUGGUUAACCAGCUGACAGAGCAGUGCAUGUGUGGUGUUGGUAAUUCAUUGAAUCAUGAUUUCAUAUCAGGUACUCGGACGGGUCGUCGGCAAAGGGCGUGUUCGCGAGCGAGUCGGCGACGAUCACGCUGGCGGGCGGCGAGCGGGCGAAGCUGCGGGGGCUGAUCGUGGGCUGCACGACGUCGUCGGCGGGGUCGAGCUUCCGCGCGUCGGACGGCGUCCUCGGCCUCGGCUACAGCAACGUCUCCUUCGCCGCCCGCGCCGCCGCCCGCUUCGGCGGCCGCUUCUCCUACUGCCUCGUCGACCACCUCAGCCCGCGCAACGCCUCCAGCUUCCUCACCUUCGGCCCCAACCCCGCCCUCUCCGACGACUCCCCUUCCCGCUCCCAAUCCCCGCCGCCGCGCCAGACCCCGCUCCUCCUCGAGCCGCGCCUGCAGCCCUUCUACGGCGUGUCGGUGUCGUCCGUGUCCGUCGACGGCGAGUCCCUCCGAAUCCCCGACAGCGCGUGGGACGUCGCGAGGGGCGGCGGCACCAUCCUCGACUCCGGCACCAGCCUCACCGUGCUGGCCGACCCGGCGUACAAGGCCGUGGCGGCGGCGCUCAGCCGGCGGCUCCAGAAUUUGCCGAGGGUCAGCGUCGAUCCCUUCGAGUACUGCUACAAUUGGACCGCAUCGGCGGGGUCGUCGGCAUUACUGCUGCCUAAAUUGGUGGUGCAUUUCGCGGGCGGGGCGCGGCUGGAGCCGCCCGCGAAGAGCUACGUGAUCGACGUGGCGGACGGCGUGAAGUGCGUCGGGAUCACGUCCGCGCCGUGGCCCGGCCCCUCCACCAUCGGCAACAUCCUGCAGCAGGAGCACCUCUGGGAGUUCGAUCUCAAGAAUCGACGGCUCAGAUUCAAACGCUCCAAAUGCGCCUAAAUUAAAUUAAAUAUUAUUCGACGGCUCUGAUUCAUUCUUUUCUUUUUCUUUUUUCGUUUUUUUUUUUUUUUUUGUUUUCUUCUUCAAGUAAAUUAGCUCCCCGUCCCGCCUCACUCUACUCCCGCUCCGUGCCCAGAUUUUUAAAUCUCAAUUUUUUUUUUUUUUUUGCUCUCCUCUAAAGAAAAGUUGUACUUGUAUGUGUGAAUUGGUGAUUGUAUUAAUUAAUAAUAAUAAUAAUAAUAAUAAUAAUAAUAGGAUCUACGGUGGGGCCCUCGUAAUCGUAAAUGGGUAAAUGGUGCCAGGCUGCCAGCCGACUCACGUGAUAUGUGGAAGGGAUGGGGAGCAGCGCAUCAGCGGGGCAGCGACGUCUCAUUGUAUUUUAUAUUGUAUUUAUUUAUGUGCUGAGACUCGGGACUCGGGACUCGGGACUCGGGAGUCGUUUCCAUUUGUCAAAAGGGGAAAUGAUGACGUGUAAAAUCCCAAUGUUUUUAGGGUUUUGUGUCUCUUGCUUUACGUCAAAUCGAAUCGAUCAACGUGAUACAGCAGAAUAUUUCCUUGCUUCCAAAGAGAUUUGAGCCUUAUUAUUAUUAUUAUUAUUAUUAUUAUUUGACUGUAUUUUGUUGAAAAUUAAGCUAAUUUGUAUAAAAAAUUCAAAAGUUUUAAACUUUUAUAAAAUUAGCCCCUCUUUUUUAGUUUUACAGAUUCGGUCCGAAUUUUUAGCAAAUUAAUUAAAAUUAUUUUCUUUUCUCUUCUGUUUUUCGUUCUUUUUUUAUAUAUUCGCGGAGACGGAAGUGGCCCGUUUCGCCUCUGCCUCGCACACCCUCUCGCCCUCGACCACGCACGCACCCCUGCCCUCCUCGCCUUCGACCCUACCGAGACCGUGCCGCUAUCUUCUUUUUUUCUUCUCUCCGACCCUCCUCUACCGCCUCCACGGUUCUUUCCAAUGGUAAUUAAUGAGGACGGCAACGCGUUCUCUUCCUCCACCUUCUUCCUCUAUUUCUACUAUAGCAGAUUUUGCACCCACCAAAUCUACUUUUGGGAACCUGCGUCCCCACCGCCGCCGCCAACGAUAAAGAGGAAGCACAUCUUGACGCCAAAAAGCUCGCCAGCAAAGGAGAGGGCACGUGGCCCACCCGCCUACCCUGGCGGUGAGAGCGCAGCCUCGGCGGUGUCGUAGGCGAAGAGGGCGAGGGGUGCACAGGAGUAUUUCUGGAUUAGCACUUUUAUUUGUUUAAAAUAAAAAAAAAAAUUAACUAAAGGUCAAAACUAGAGAAUAAUGAAGAAAACCAGAGAAGAAGAAAGAAGAAGAUAAAGUUGCAUUGUUAAAAUUAAAUUGUAUUAUUUUAAAAUAACUUACACUAUUAUGUACGUAAGUUGCACUAUUUGAAAUAUAAACUGCACCAUUUAAAAUGAAAAUUACACUAUUUAAACAAAAAUUAUACUCUUUGAGAGAUAUUUACACUUUUUUUUCUCUUGUUACACUCUUUGAGAUGUAAACUGCACACUUUAAGAAAAAAAAUGGUGUAAAUAUCUCUCUUUGCAACUUUAGUUUAAAGAGUUCAACUUUCAUUUUAAAGGACGCAGUUUACAUUUCAAACAGUGUAAUAAGAGAAAAAACAGUGUAAAUAUCUCAGAACCUUUGAAUUAAAUAUUAUAACCUAGUGGAGACAACUCAACCCUAGGGGGACCAUUCAACCCUAAAGGACUAAUAUCAUCCUAAUCCUACAAUUUCUCAUCCAAAGAUUAAAAACUUAAUAGCGAAAAAGAUCUUUUACCAUCAAUAGAAUUGAGUGCAAAAUUGACAUUUUAAUUUUUUUAAAUUGUGGUAGAUAUUUAACUUAAGUUUAAGCUAAAUUAAUUUAACGGAUGGUAACUGUAGGCGUAUUUUAGAAUAACGGAGAAAUAUAUAAGGAGUGUAUUAUUAAAAAGAAAAAAAAAUAAAAAUAAAUGAGAUAUUUUUAAAAUUUGAAGAGAUAUAUAGAUAAUUAUUUUUAUAUAUUCUUUAUGAUCGACGUAUAUCGAUACUAUCCGAUAUGCAUCAUAUCAUGUCGAUAAAUUUUGGACACAACACCGUACGAUGGUACCUAAAUUUUUGUCAUCGAACACAUUUGUUUGGUAGAACAAUUGCUCCCUAAAAAGACUCGCAGUCAUUAGCAAGAUGGACGCGUAUGUCGAGAACAGAGCAGGAAGUAAUGGAUCUAACAUCACAUCUGGCUGCUGUUCUCGCAAGAAAAAAUUUUAGGUACCGUUUGAUUCAGGUAUAAGUAAGAACUAGUUAUUACAGGAAUAGAUACAAGUAUGGGGAUAAAAAAAAUACUGUUUGAAUGAAAAUUUGGUUGUUUUUGGGAAUAAGAAUAAUUUUAGAUAGUUUUAUAUAAAAAAUGAAGGUGUUGGUGGGGAUAACCGAGAACUACUAUUCUCAAGUAAAAAAUUAGCGUUUGGAUAUAAAGAGGGAUAAUAACCUAUUCCUAUUCCUAUCCCCUAACCAAACGCUGCCUUAGAAUAUAAAUACACAUAUUACUGAUGAUAUGUUAUUCUUAACUAAUUAAAAAAAAAUUUAAGAUUCAUAUAUUUUAUUAUUAUUUUUAAAAAAUGUUUUUAUUAUAUUUUUUUUCCUGAUCGGACAUAGAGGAUACGCUUUAUUGCAUGCGCGUUUGUAUUAAUUAAGUAAAUACUGCAUUUCUUUUUUUGAAAAAAAAAAAUCUUAUAAUUGGUUAGGGUUUUCGGAAGAUGACUUCUACGGGCUUUGCUAACUUUUUUUUUUUUUAAUGUAAAAUUGAUGGGAUAACAUGCGCAACAACCCUAAUUAAUGGAACCACAGGGGCAGGAUUGACUUUCUAUUUUAGUUGAUUUCUCCACCAAAGUUUUAUUAGUUCUGCUAAAAUAUGUCGCAUUGAUUCUAAUAAAGUUAUAUUUAUUUUUAUAGAUCACAGUUAUAGUGCGGUAGCUCUUGAUUAAUAUCGGCGCCAAUUUUGUAAAAUUUUAGAAAGAACUCAGUACAUCCGGCUCAAAGUCAAUAAUAUCAAAUGCUCUAAAAGAAGCAGUUGCGUUAGGUCAAAAUGGUUAUAUGCAUGAAGGACGGCAUUAGGGAUGAUAAAAUUGGACUUGAUACAAUAUGCGAGAAGAAUUUAGGCACCAGACUAAAAAAUAAGUAAUAGUUAAGGACCAAUGAUACAAUUAUCUGUACAACAAUACUAUCCAUAUAUUCUAGUUCGGGAUAUAAGAUAUACACCCUAAUCUUUGGAUAGAUGAAAUUUUACUUUACUAAAAAAGAAAUUUUUUUUACUAAGAUCUAUUUGGAUUUUGUGAAGUUUUGGAUGCCAAGUUGUAAAAUGUCCGUCCCUGAUAGAAACGUACAAGUAGGGGUGGAAACGAGCCGAGCUCGAGCGAGCUUAUGUCAGCUCAAAUUCGGCUUGAAAUUAAUUUCGAGCCUAAAUCUAGGCUCAAGCUCGGCUUGAAAUUAAUUCGAGCCGAGCUCGAGCGAGCCUAAUUUCGAGUCGAGCCGAGCUCGAGCUCUAAACGAGCCGAUUGAAAUUCUCAACAUUAUAUAAUCAAUAGUUUAAUUUUUAUAGAACAUUAUCUAUAAUUUGAUGCAACAUGUUCAAUAGUUCAAAAUACAAAAUAAUUGUAAGAAAUGUGAGCUAGGGUGACUGCCUGACUGGGUGAGGGUCAGAGAGAGAGAGAGAGAGAGAGAGGGAAAAAAAAUUAGAGAUUUGGGAAUUUGAAUGUUAUCAUGUUUUAGGGUUAUGUGCAACAGUGAAAGUCUGAAAGAGAGAGUAUGUUAUGUAAAUUUAGAGUUGGGCUCAAUUGCACGAUUGUACUUGUUGGGUUUAUUUUAUAGGCCAACAAUAAUGACCCAAAUUAAAUUAAAGCCUAUAUAUAUAUUUUCGAGCUUUCGAGCUUUUCGAGCCUAAUUCGAACGAGCCGAGUAAUACUCAAGCUCGGCUUGAAAUGAAUUUCGAGCCUUUUAUUUUGUUCAAGCUCGGCUCAUUUAAUUUCGAGUCGAGCUCGAGCGAGCCAAAUAUCGAGCCGAACACGAGUCGAACGCGAGCCGGCUCGCUCGUUUGCCAGCCCUACGUACAAGUAGCAUUUUCAUAAAAAUUAAAAAUUUAUUUACAGAAAAAAAAAAAUUGUGACCAGAAUAAAAACUGUCCGUAAGGUUGGGGACCAAUAAUGCAGUCAACACAAUUAUUUAUUAGGGGCAUUUGCAUUACCAAGAGAAUCCUAUGUUGCACUUAUCACUGUUACCUGCAACAUUUCACUAGGGUGAAAACAAUUAAAGAAAGAGGUUGGACAAUUUCACAUCAGCAACAAAUCCUACUGCGUUAAAACUUGGUAACACCUUUUUUUUCAUAUUUUUAGCUAAAUUUAUUUUUAAAUAAAAUAAACGAAGCAGAUAGCGCGUGCUUGCUACCUAUCUCUCAACAAUAAAAAAAAAAAAACAUCUUCCUUUUUCACUUGUUAGAAUAAAGCACGGUCACCGAACUUUGGCCGCGGAAUUUUAAUUUAAAUCACCAAACUUUAAUUUUUAUUUUAAGCAGAUCAUUUUUAAUAAUUUGCCAAAUAAGGUGACUAGCAAUCUAGCAUCAUAUUCUAAGAAAAAUAUGACUGUUAAUAUCUCGCCUAGGGGAUGAUCUAACUAUUUUUGUAAACUUUUGUUAUGAUACUUUUGAGUUUGACCCAAUUUGAGUUGAUUAAUUCAUCAAGUGGAAAACGUAAAUAUAUAGCACAACUAAUCUCCAAACUUUUAGCCAGGUUUUACUUUACUAGUCAUAUGUUUAAGUUCAAUAUUUAAAGUUCUAAACUCUUUAUAUUGUUUCAUUUUAGUUCUUAUUUGUUAUAUACCAUUAGAAAGAAAAAACAAUUUGAAGCUCAUAUCCAGGCACUUGUACAUACAAUUGCCGUAACUCUAUCGACCCUUGAAUUGAUUUUAUAUUAAAAUUCUACUAUCAGUGGAAUUGUAGGUUUUUUUUUUCAGAAAUAAUUUCAUUAAUACCCCUCUAAAAGACAAUAAUUUUAUGAAUAUUACUUUAAACUUGAAAAUAUCAUCAAUACCUCUCUAAAAAUAAAAAAUAUUCACAGAUACACUUAGAGCAUGUUUGGUUCGCACUAUGAAAGAUUAUUAGAAAUAAAAAGAUACUUAAAAAUCUUAUUCCUACUCAUCCUAUUAUUAAAAUUGUGAUAUUCCAGUAUUUGGUUCGUACGACCAUAUUAUUUAAGAUUAUAAAAAAUAUAUAAUUAAUGUAUUUGUUUCGUUAAUUAAUUUUGUAUGAUACUAUCAAAAAUUUUAACAUCUUUUAAAAAAAGGGAGAGAGAUACAGGUUAAAGAGAGAGAGAGCAUAAUUAAAAAAAAAUAGAAAGAGAGAUAGAGUCGUAGUAAGAGGGAGCGAGAGAGUUGACAUUUUAAAAAGAGAGGGAGAGGGAGGGUUCAGUUUAGAAAGGAAAAAAGAGUUGAAAUUUAGAGAAAGAAAGAUAAGUUUAGAAAGAGAUAUAAGAUUAGAGUGUGAAGAAGAACAAUACAAACUAGCUGGCAGCUAGGGAGAAAAAAAAAUAUUAGACAUAUUGUACUUUCCCUAAUCCAUUAAUAUAAGAAUAACUAUCCUCUUUCAAAAAAAUAAGAUUAAUAUUUUGGAAUAAAUCUCAUUUCUAUGUAAAUCUAAUAUUAUCAACUAAAUUACUUAGUGAGUUUAACCAAACGCUCUUAUAUUUUCUUAUUCCUAUUGAAUUACUGGAAAUUUUAAAGAGAUAGCGCAAAAUAAAUGCACCUGUAAGGUUAACAUUUUGUCAAAUAAUCAUCCAAUAUUCUUUAAAUACUAUUUUUAUUCCUAGCACUAAUUUAACUAAGUAUAAUAAUUUAAGAUUAAUUAAAUAAUCAAUGUUUAAUAUUUGAAUCACAUAAUAAUUUAACAUUUUUUAAAAAAAAUCGUACAAUUAAAGAUCUAUAGUCGAUUAAGUAUAAUAAUUAAAUCUCAUUAUGCUUUUUGGCAUUUAAAUUUUACAUAGUUGUAAUGCGUAUCUUCUAUACCUAUAUAUUAUUUGUCAUAGAGUUUGCCACAUGGCAAUUUCUUCUUCAAUCCACUUCUCACUCCCUAAUGCUUCGCCUUCCCACCCAAUCUCUGUCUAAUGCUUUGUCUUCCUACUCACCCACUUUCUAAUUAAUAAAUUCACAUGAUCCAUUUUCAUUUAAACAAAUUGCUUUAAGAAAAAGUAAAAUAAGAUUUUUUCGUACUCUUUUUUAUCAUAUUUUUUUCUUUUUGCUUGUUUUUGUGCACAAGAAGGGUUCAAUUUUUUGUUUUUUUCUUGAUCUCUUUUGCUAUUUUUUUUAAAAUUGUGUGAGGAAUGAAAUUAGGAUUCAAAGGAUCGCGGUGGCGCGGCGUGUGUGAGGAUUGAAAUUAGGAUUCCGAGGAUCGCGGUAGCGCGGCGAGGUGGAGUGCGAUGGAUUUGGAGUCAAUGAGGGGAAAGAAGCGGUGGGUGUGGGGGGAUCCAUACGGCAUCAAUGUGGUCGUGAUCAAGGAGAGGCUCGACACCGGCAAUAGCGGUGGAGGCGAUGCGGAGAACGGGAAUUGCCUCUUCGAUCUGACAGGGCGAUCAAGGUACGUAUGGAAUAGCAACUCUGCUACCACUUCUUUUAUUAUUGUUAUUAUAAUUUAUUUAUUGUUGUAACUUUUAUUACAUUUGUACAUAUUUAUUUUAUGUUUUCAAUUUGUAUCUAUUGAUAUCUUAUGUCAAGUCAAAAAAAUUUUUAAUUUUAACUUUGCCAAUCUUUUAUCUUCUAUAGUAUUAGCCCGCCGCAAUACGUGGGCAGCUUCACUAAUUCAAUUUCAAGAUUUAUUUUUUAAAAUUUUAUUUAAUUAACUCACAUACCUAGCACUAAAAAUAUUUUGAUAUCAAAAUUCUUGAUAUUAGAGUAUUUCUUAUAUGACCUACUCAAACAAAAAAAAAUUAAUUGAAAGUUUAUUGUCAACAAUAAAGUAAAAAUGCAUGAAGACCCUCACACCUGUAAUAUAAUCUAACAAGUGAAAAUGAUCAAAAGGUAGAUCUAACGGCAGAAAACCCGAUAACCUCAAGACCUCGAUACUAUUGAUAGUAUAGAAACCGGACUCUCUCUCUCUCUCUCUCUCUCUCUCUCUAUAUAUAUAAUGACACGAUAGCUAUCACGAUUUGUGAACCAUGAUAGCUCAAAAGCCGGCAAUCUCCUUUCGUACACGCCAAUUCUACUAUCACUAGGGACGAAUCCUACUAUAACCAGGGGAUCCCAACUCAUCCACCAGCCAACUCAUUGUAUUAGAUUGCCCACUUUUACUAGUUUCCCAUCUAGAUUACCAUCUUUUAAGCUAUUAUAGUUCUGGAGCUAUGAUAACUAUCAUAUCAUCGGCCUGAGAGAGAGAGAGAGUGAUAUAUAUAUAUAUAUAUCUCUCUCUCUCUCUCUCUAUAUAUAUAUAUAUAUAUAUCUCUCUCUCUCUCUCUAUAUAUAUAUAUAUAUAUAGAGAGNGUUCGGAGAAAGAAAUUCCAAAUAAAAAAAUUAAUUGUUAGUUUAUAUUAAAAGAAUUUGUAGCCUAAAAAAAAUAAAUUAAUUAUUCUAAGAGAGGCCAAACACCCACUUAAUCUGAAUCCAAUUAUUAUUAAAAAAAGAAGCAAAGAGUUUGGUGAUUGGUAUCCGAGGCCACAAAUUCGAAUUCUAAUUGAUUAACAUUUUCAGUCAAGUUUAUUUCUAAGUUUGGUUGAAGCUCAAGGCACAAGAUGUUUUUUAAGAGGGAAUUUUAGCCUGAAUCCAACUAUUACUCAAAAGCCUAAAUUGGCCGAUCAAGCGGGUCAGGUUAUAUCAAAUUUGCCACCCUAAUUGUGAGGCUUUGCUCAUCAAUAUUUGUAACUCCCAACCAACUGCCCAUCAACUCAUGCUUGUGGCAAAGGCUCAGACUUGAAAUAAAAAAAUAAAAAAAUAAAAAAAUAAAAAAAUUUAUAACCAACUUCUUUUCUUCACACUUACUGCAUGGGGAGAAAAGUCAUGAAGAUGAAAACACACCCCAAAAGAAGCUCACAUUGAAAGAGUGCUUCUUGAAAAAACUACAACUCACCGCAUCUUUUUACAACUAUUAGGACAACACUUGCAUUCUCUCCAAGUACUUGAUUUUUUCAUCAGUUUCACCACUCUCUUCUUCUUCUUCUUUAUAAAUGACCUCAUACCUCCUCUACAAUUCAUUUACUUUAUUUAUUCUGUGCAGUUUUAUCCCUGCAUCUUCUCAAAGAACUUUGCAAAUCCCUUUACAACACAAAAAUGAUUAUUACAGAUCAAACGACGGAGCAACCGGGAUCCCGAUAAUCUCUGUCAGCACGGGCUCAUCGGAAAUUCACCUAGUACGAGUCCGGAUCGGCGAACCCCCUCAAACUCGUUUCCUAAUACCCGAUACGGGUAGCAACACCUCUUGGGUGUACUGCGAUCGCGAACCUUAUUAUCGAACUGAUCAUGAUAAAUCAAACUAUCGCAUCUUCCAUUACUCUCUUUCUAACACCUUUACUCCCUCGACUCGUAACUACACGCAUGAAUACGUCGACGGGACCUCAGGCUGCAGGAUUUUGGGCUAGAGAGACUGACAUUUAGGUCAUCAGAAGGGCUAGACUUCAAGUUCAAGGCUGUGAUGAUUGGUUGCAGCUCCCCAGCUUUCACUAAUCUUACUGAUGGUGAUGGAAUCCUAGGACUAUCUCCCACUCACCCUUCUUUCAUUGCGCAGAUAGCACCUGAAUUUGGAUCCAUAUUCUCUUAUUCCCUCUCCAAUAACAAGGCUAAACUAGGGCAAAAUCUGUUAGUGUUUGGAUAACAUGGUGGAUCUAACUUCGAUCGAAACCGAAUGCAGCAUAUAGAGCCAGUUCGCAGACUUAUUCUUCUCCGUCGAGGUUUCGUUCUUGUUUAUAGACGAUAAGCUACUGGAGAUCCCCAAGGAUGCUUGGAAAUAUGAUGUCCAAAAUGAUACAGGAGGGGUGAUUUUGGAUACAGGGACCAGAUUCACCUAUGUGCCCAAAUUCGCGUUUCACGCAAUACACGAAUUUUAUGCCGAGUUCUUUCAGACUUGUAAUAGUGUCUUUUUGGCUCGGCCGAUAGGCGCAAGCGACGGCUCAAUAAUCGGCAACAGUUUGCGGAAGGGCUACUCUUGGGAGUAUGAUCUUUUGUAUCAAAGAGUAGGGUUUGCACCUCUUAGUUAGCACUCAAAUUGAAAUAUACCAUGCCUACAUGGUGAUCUUUGGAUCUAAAACACAGUUCGGUUCAGAAAUAUAUAAAGAUACCACUUCAAUAUAAUGAUGUUUCCCUGUAAUUUUUCAAGCCUGAUUUAUUUCUGUAGAUGCUACACUCAAAAGGACUCUAAAAACCAAAGCAAUCUCGGCACAAAGUUAUGUUGGAUUUGCCUCAAAUUUCACUGAAAAUACACAGAUUGAUAACAGUUCAGAUAUUUAAGGUCCAGCAUAACUUGUGACAAGGAACAGCAUAGAGGGGCAAAGUGAUCCUUACAUCUCUCAACAUCUUAAGAAGCCUAGUAACAGGUUUAGAACACAGCAUAUAUCUGGCAAACAGUUGACAAAUUGAACGUAAAACCUAAUGUCCAAUAGGUACUACGCCAAUCCAAGAUAAAGAAGAGGAUUGGUGAUCUCAUGCGCUCCCAUCUUCGAAACUCAAAACCAUAAACUUCGGACACUUCCAUUUGCUAGAUGUUUGAAUAAUGCCUCUCUAUUUAUGCUGUUUCUAAAGCUCGGCCAAAUCGGUGACAUCAGGUAAAAAAUCCUAAAUCCAACAUGACAGGAUCUGACAUAACAUUGCAAAGAUUCCUUUAACUUCAGAAACAACUUGCACAACACUUCUCCCACACAACCAGAAAUCAAAAGAGUCCGACAGUCAAGAGUUGGAACUAUGAUAUGUAGUGGGCUGCCAUGGAUCAUUUACCUACAACUCUAAUAGGAUUUGGAUGCAGAUCGCAGGUCAAUUCGACCAGAUUAAAUGCAGAUGCGAUGAAAUAACUAGUAAUCUGCUCUUCUAUAAGCACGAGCUAUGAACUGAAUAAAGCGCAAGAUACGAUUCGAAAGUGAACUGAGAAGAAUAAUUAAAUAAGCAAAGUUGAACCGAAAUAGCGUCUGCUAAUACAAUCACAUUUGGAUAAAGAAACCAGAUCUGUAGGCAAGAAUAAUAUAUUUGUUGAUUUAGGAUAUCUGUAGAUUUUUCUGGUUUCUUUAUCUAAACCAGAAGACUCUAAGGAUAUCCUAAAUCAACAAAUAUAUUAUUCUUGCCUACAGAUUAUUUAACAGUUAAAUAAACCACCGAAAAUGAAAUGUCAAAAUGCACUCCCUAAUACCAAACGAAGGAAAAUCUGAGAUUUAAAAUUUACAAGGUAGCUUGCAAAAGAGAACUGAAAUUAGCCAAAGUUUGUUUUCUGCCAUCAGGAAUAGCUGCACUCAAUAGUUCAUCUGAAAACAAGAAAAUAUAAUAAUAACUGAAGUAUCUAGAUAUGUAUCUAUACAAGAAGCAUUAAACUAGAAAAUAUAUAUUAAUAAUAAUAACUGAAGUAUCUAGAUAUGAUCUAUAUAAGAAGCAUUAAACAAGAAAUGAAGCAUUUAAUUUACUUUGACAUCCAACCAAAACUAAAUUUUCUCUUCUGAACUCGCAAAUCCAAAAAUAUCAACAAUCCUUCACCAAACUUUCUUCAUACUGUUUACUUUAAUUUUUGGGGCUGUUUUUUUUUGCAUUUAGCCCUCUCAAAACUUGUUUUUUAUAAAUAAACCCAAUAAAUUUAUAUUUGCAGAAAUAGCACUCUCACACCAUGCGAGCACCAUGAUAGACAAGGUAGGGCUAUGUGGGCGUUUUUAAGUUGAACACGGUGAUCCGAUCACCAUAUUUAAACACGGUAACUGAAAUACCUGUUCCAUUUUGUGUUUUUCACCAUAUUACUUUAAUUCCCAUCGCCCCUAACUCAAAAAAAAAGUACUAAAGUGUGGAUAUGAACACAGUGAUCCAAUCACCAUGUUCAGCUUAACCUAUCCAACAUGGUGCUUGCGUAGCAAGGAGAGGGUCAUUUAUGCCAAUAUAACAUCGCUGAAGCUGUUUGUUAAAAAAAAAUGUUUUGAGGGUCCAAAUGCAAAAAAAAAAAAACCCUAAUUUUUUUUUGCUUUUGUUGAUUUUAACAAAAGGAACCUUUUUCCUGAUUAAUGUUAUUUUUUGCUACAGGAUUAUUAUAUAGGAUUUUCGAGUCUUCUUUGCAUUUUAGUCCUUCACAUGAACAACCACAGUAAUUCGAAGUUCAACAGCAAGCGCACAUCAUACUUGUUCAACAAAUAAGGGAUUUUGUGCCCUUUUUUCUUAACAAUCAUUCAACAUUUCAAAAAUAUUAUCCAAUUAACAGUUACCUGAAUUUCAUAAAAAUUGGAAGAGCAUGAGGGCGUCAUCAAGUUUAUAGAGGGACGAUUGCAAUAUGUACUUUACCCUUUGAUAUUUCUUGUCACCAUGCGGGGAAACCUGAUGAAUGAUAGAGAUGUGACGAAGUAAAUGCAAAGCCAUUUAAUAGCUAAUUACGCUCUGCCGCAAAAUGAAAAAUCAAGUAUACACCGUACUACAGAAUCAAAAAGGAAAACCCACUGAAAACAAUCCUAGGAGAAGUGAACACUCAUAAUACAAGAACAAGCAGUCAACAACAUAGAUGUUUUUUUUAAUAUAAAAUACCCUAAGAUAAUACAUCAAGGUGUCCUUUGUUUCAUUUUGCAAGUACUCUAAUAGAGUAAUAUUCAUCAUGGAUCACUGGCAGUCAUUUAUCCAGACAUCCACAAAUAUCUCAAAAUCAUAAUAAAGAUAAACAAGAGAACCUCCGAGAGUAGUUUUUUCACAUAAUUGCCACUGAAAACUUUUAAUCUCACAUAUGCAUAAUUACAUUCUUUAUAAUAAAACUACAAGGAAGCUUGUUGUUUCAGAUUUCUAAUUUCUAUAAUAUAUACUAACUUAUAUAAUCUGCAUAAAAGAUUUCAGUUAUAAGCAGCAACUUCAGAAAGUGUUUCGACCCUUCCAUCCCUCUUUGCUCUUCUAUUCUCUUUAAAUUAAGACUAUUAGGCUUUUUUUUAUAUGCAAAAAAAAAAAGAAAAAGGUGGUAGUGGAUCAAAACAGCUACUUAGUGGCAAUGGAGGAGAAAACGACGGACGAGUAUGACAGGAUGGAAGAAUUAUCAAUUAAGAGAGAUUAAAGAGAAAAUAGGACAUGGUCUAUUGCCAUAUUACAUGCACUCUAAAUUGAAUGAAGAGUAUGGACGAUGAAAAAUAGGAGAAAAUCCCAUCAAUAAGAAAAGGAUAAAAGAAUGAUGAUAGUGGAAAUCAUCAGAUCUUGACCAUGACCAUUAAGGAGAUGGUGGGAGGAUGAGAAGACAAAAAUGGAAGGUUCAACAUGAGGACCGGUUUGACAUUAUUAGCAGAAAACUAACUUGAAUGGCACACAUGCAAUAUUAAAAUGACAAGGCUACAUAGGAGAUUAUGAAAAAAAAAAAAAAAACACAACUAAAAUAGAAGAAACAUAUUAUAGAAUACCAGAAUUCUGUGUUUCUAACUAACAGACAAAUGAUGGUUCCAUAGAAUUGGGAUCAGUCUUACAUAGGUAAUUUAGGCUAGCCAUACACAUAAUGAGCAACCAAAAUGUAGAGCAAGACAAGCAUUUCAAUGUCCAACAUAACUGCUAAAACUAACAAGAAUAUUUUUUAUGCUACUCGUCAUGGUAACUGACAAGAAAAAUGCAACAUUUAAAAUCGCUAGCAACAAGCGUGAAACAAUUUAUUUUGAUUAAGAAAAAAAAAAAGAGAAAUCAACUUAUGAGGGAUGUAGCUCGCUCACUUCUAUGAAACUAGAAGUAAGGAUAAUUAUUUAAGAACAAGCACAAGUGCCAAGGCUAUGUUGAACAUAGUACACAAAAAUAACUACGAAAAAGAAGGAAAAGAUUAUAAGGUAAUAAAAUGGACCUCACGCUGCUGCUGAGCAAUCUGAGAUAUCUUCUGACUCAAAUUCAAAGAAGCAUGAUACAUAUCAUCUAUGAUAUGUUCCCUAAGCACCCUCUUGUUCAAUUUCCACAAGAAAAGCUGUGUCUGGCCUGAUCCAUGCAUAACAACUUUCUGCAAGAAACAGUCAACAUUUCAAAAGUCAACAAUUUCCGACUCCCCAAUAUCAAAUUGUGCAAAGCAGCCGAAACAAAAGAUUUAGCAAUCUUCUUCUGUAGCAAAAGCAGACAUCGAAGGGUCUUUAUGCAACAGUAAGAUAUUUCUUUUGCAACAUGCAAUUGACAACAAACUCUUUGAUCACCACUGUAAAGUGUGUCACUGCAUAAAAUAAAGAACAAUGAAAAAUAAGCAUUGGCUACAGAUAAUAACUUUCAAUACAGUUAUCACUAGCGCAAACUGAAUCACAAGACUUAGCAAUUGCCAUAACUUACCCAUUCCACAAAUUUCCACUGGAAAAAAACUAGAACAACAGGAUAAGAAACUAUUAGGCAGCAAAUGAUAAAAUAGGUAAUCCAUUUUAAACAGUUUGUGGCAAUCAUUUUUCUACAUCCCAAGUGCUGCAAUAAAGCAAAUUAACCCUUCAUUGACCUGAAACUAUAGAGAAAAAAAUCCUAAGCAAAUUUGCACUAAAUUUACUUGUAUCAGCAAAUCAGGAUUGUAUGGAAAAACAUGAUUCAGUUGAAAGAAGAAAAGUAAUCUGCUCAGGUCUCACCAUUUCCAAUCAAAACAAACCCUCAUUCUUAACUAAAUCUAUUCCAAAAUCACUAUACCAUGAUUUCUUCGCACACCCUCAAAUUAAAUAAAACAACAUAUUCCGGAAGUUCUAGAGUUGCUGAUUCAUUUAUUGGCCGUCAUCUUGAUUGGGCCCUGGAAUGGCACAUGUCAUGCCACAGUACUGCCGACAUUUGGCACUGUUGGCACGUGUCCACUAUACCAACCAGCAGAGCAAUCCUUCCUUCAAGACAAUUCUUUUGCCAGAAAUACAUAGAAUGCUCAUCACAUAAUAGUAAGCAGUGACUGUCCAAAUGAUCAUCGGGACCUUGAUACUUCCGUACAUCAAACAUAUCAAGCUGAUUCCACGGCAGCAAAGAAAACACGGCCAGGCAAAUACAUGCUAACUUGCCAUGGACAUGCCAAAUUGGGCCAGUACAUACUGUGCCUAGACCUUAGCAAACGACACAAGUCUUUCCUCUCUUUUGAUACCCAAGGGCCAGUUAGGAUGAUGAAUAUCUAGUCCAGCAUAUCUCAAUCAUUUACUCAAGAGACAUAAUAAGUAUAUUUGUUAAUAAGGAGUAUGAAAAGAUACUACCGCUACCAUUUGUAGAGCCUCUAAGUGAACACAAUGUAGGAAGUAGCUGUCAAGAGAAGACAGUCCAUAAAGCAGAGGGUAAUUUAUUCAUACGAAUGUAACAACAUUAGGAAGCACAAUUCUAUGGCAAAUGAGACAAAAGAUUAAUGUUCUAUGUAAUUUUCCUAGCUCAGAAAUGUAGUAGUGAAGGGAACUGAAAAAGUAGCAGUGAAUCGAAGUUCGAAACUUAAUAUGUCCCUUACCUCCAUUUCCAAGUAUUCGUCCUUCCAGAGUUUGUACAAAAUUUCUUGAGCAUUCUUCUUCUCAAUAAAUGUAAUUUCUACAAUCUGAAAGAUGAAUAUAAUGAUCAAAAGGAAGGAAAUCAUAAGCAGGGCAAGACAUAAAGAAGUCCUCAUGUUCAUGAUAUAAGGAAGAAUAACCUACAUAAUAAGUGAGAAAAAUAGCAUCAAGAUUUGAAAAGCGUCAACCUAAAGUUCCACUGCAGCUACCAAGAUAGUUUGAAAAGGCACGCCUGAGGCGCGCACCUCAACGCCUAGGCGCCCCUAAGGUGCGCGCCUCAACGCCUAGGCGUGAGGCGCGGGCCUUAGCGCCUCAGCAAUAGCAAGGCGCAGUGCUAUUGCUAAGGCGCACGCCUAGGCCCUUAGGCAGGCGCCUCAGGCAAGGCGCGAGGCGCGCGCCUCGCAAUAUUUAAUAGUAUAGGGUUUUUGGAUCCAAGUUUCGGGAUUGUUGGGUUUCGGAUUUUAGUUUUAUAUUUUAACCCGAUAAGAUAAAUAAAAGAUCCUAAAAAAAAAACCCCAAAAAACCCUAGUGAAUUCCAAUUCUUCCCCCCCUCUCCUCUCCUGCUCGUGUUCCCCUAUCUCUCUGUCCAUGGGCAUCCAGCAGCAACAUCAGCCAUUGCUGGCAGCAGGAACAAGCAAGUAGCAGCCGUUGUAGCAAAAAAGCAACCUGCUGCAGCAGUUUUCAAGUUGCAGCGGGAGCAAAAACAGGAGUAGCGACAGCAAGAAGACAAGAACCAGCAUGAGGCGCACGCCUUCUUGAGGCGGAAAGAAAGUAAUCUGCUGCAAAAGUUUUCAAGUUUGCAUGUAUUUUCUUUACUUUUGAUAGUUAUUUUUAUUUUUGUAUGAUUAUUUGGAGUUUUUAAUGUAGAACAUCAAACUAAAUUAAGUUUAGUAAAUGUGUCCCUCGCCUUCGUGAGGGGCGCGCCUCGCAGUGCGCCUCGCGCCUAGGCACCAAGAGAGUUUUGCGCCUUUUUGCACCUUGCGCCUUUUCAAACACUGGCUACCAAGCAACAGAGCACAAAGACUCUCUUAAGGUAAAAAUGGCAUUCGUUCACAACAAUCCCUCCAUUCUAUUUGCAAGAUAAAGUGAAACAAACCUACAGGAUUACUCAGCAGAUCAAUGAGAUAAAAAGAUACAAUACUAGAAUUUAAUAUACCAGAAAAACUGAAGGAUAAAUAUGAUGUCUAAGAAAAAUUGCAAUUACCUAUGCAUUCUAACGAAUAUGAACCUCUCGUGACACCGGACUGAUCAGAAAAUACUCUCACAAGUCACAAGUACAAAGAAACUUCUAUUUCCUUGAAAAGAAUCUAGUAUUUAGGAAGGCUUCACAGGGAAGAGCUCUUAGCUACUGUUGACUAUCACAUAGAUGUCCCCCACUCACAAAUAAUGAAGUACAUUAAAUGCCUAGUAUAUUAAGUAUAAUAAAUCAAGAAACUGAAGGCAAAAAUACAGAUAAACUUGAUUAAAAAAAGUCAAAAGAUAGUAGUACAGCUGAUGCCAUAGGCACCUAAUCACAUCAUGAAUUAACUAUUGCUUGAAGCAUUGAAAAAUGCAUUCUAACUCAUUAAUUUUUGUCGACAGAGGUUCCAUAUCCUGUUGAUUUUGUCGAUUACAAACAAAUAGACAGGACUAAUUUAUUAUAUACGAAUGAUGUAGACUAGUAAUACUCUCAAGCAGAAUGGACUACAAUGAAAAUUCAUCGUCAAAAGCUGAAAGAUGGAUGACAUUCAUCCUUCUUAGUUUUUAUUUCUUUUAAUUUAACUGCCUGAUGAGCAACUGAUCUUAGCAUAGUCGAAACAUUUAAAUAAAUAUUAGAUGAACUGAUUGAAUAACCCAGAUGUUGACCAGUGCCUUUUUAGGAACUUUGAGAGAAUAAUCAGCGCCAUGGAAUUCAAAUCUGCCUAGGACUUGAUUUGGAAAUUUUAUCAGUUGACCUGGGAGAAGGCUAGGGUAAUAUCCAACAGUCUCUCUCACAGCCUCCCUCCCUCCACACCACCCACCUCCCUCUCUCCAUCCGUCUACAUUUACUCUCCAUUUAUGUUCAUUUGUCGUCCUUAUGUUUCCACUCUUUCCCUUUAUUUAUUUGCUUGAUAUAGGAACUUUGAGAGAAUAAUCAGUGCCAUGAAAUUCAAAUGCGCCCAGGACUUGAUUUGGAAAGUUCACCAGUUGACCUGCAAGAAGGCUAGAGCAAUAUCUAACAGUCUCUCUCCCGGCCUUCCUCCCUCUGUACCCACAACCACCGUCUCCCUCUACAUUUACUAUGAUACUAUCCAUUUAUGUUCAUUUAUCUUGCUUAUGUUUCCACCCUCUGUCUCACUCUCUCCCUUUAUUUUUAUAUACUGCAUUACUCAUCUAUUUAUCAUGGUUUUGCAAACAGUUUACACAGAUUUUAAAUUAGGACCUAUUCAGCCCCCACCUCCAAUCCCCCUCCGGCGAAACAAAUUUACCAACAAACACUAAUAUGCAUAUGAGAUUGCAGCUUAAAGUAAACAUUUUCUUAUUUGUGUUUCCAAUAAAUAGAUACUAUAACUCGGCAUAAUGUCCAAAAGGUGGUACACUGUAUCCAUGCGGUUACCCAUCACAUAGCGUAUAUACAUAUAGUGCAUAUACAAUAUGUGGGCACCUAUGCCAUCCAACUAUUAAAAUAGUACAGAAUAUUUAUAGUUAAUAAAAAUAUAUAUAAAUUCUUCCUAACAAAGCUGAAAUAUAUAAAAGCAAUCAAACACAAUUUACAUUUUAGAAAUUAUCUGCAAAUACAUCUUAUCAAAUAUUCAAGUAUUAUCUUUGGUUACAACUUAUUGUUAAGAGUCUAAUCAUUUAUGCAUUUAUAUGAUUAGCGCUAUUGCCAGUUGUACUUUUACUUCUACUGAGUCUAAUUUAACAUAACUUGUACUAUAAGGUGUUUUUUGUAAUUGUGUUCACUAUAUAUUCAAUAGAAACUCUAGAAGGGGCCUUUACGGCUUUACCCAAUCUUUCAUGGUAUCAGAGCCAUAAACCCCUUUAGGAAAAAUCAACAGAACCACCAUCCUUCUUUCUUCCUUUCCGUCACUAGUUUUUCUUCUUCCUCUCUAUUAUCGUUUUACCACUGCUACAAUAUUUCGCUAUAGUACUGCUGCUACAGUAUUUUUCUGCAAAACUGCCGCUACAAUGCUCUGCUAAUUGCUACAGUAUGCCACCCUUUUUUCCCUUUACUGGUAGUUAUCUUGUAGCCGUCUAUACUCAUCUACGUUCUCAAAACUCUAACUACAGUUUUGUGGUCAUUGGAUCUGUGGUUAUUACUUGAUGGUUUUCUCGAGGGUUCUCUUAUCUUUUUUAAUUGCUGUUGCCACAGAAUUAUUCCUUGUACUCUUCGUCUUUAUUUUUUAUGGUGGCUAAUAUGUUUCUCUACCUGUGGUGAAUAUCAAUACGCUUAUCCCUACAGAGAUAUCAAACACUACAUACUUGGUAUAGAAACAAGUGUUCCUCAAUGUGUUGAAAGGCUUCGGAGUAGCCUCACAUAUUGAUGGAACAGGUGUACCACCAUCUCAGAUGGUAGAGGUCAACAAAAAGCUAACACCCAAUCCUGAUUAGUACAAUGAUCCUCUCACAGAUCAAUGCAACAUUAUCCCUUUCUAUUCUUCAGAUGGUGAUAUCUAGUUUGUCGAAAUCAGCUCACCACGCCUGAGUCUUCAUUGAAAAUUACUUCUUUGACAAGACCACCUCUACUGCCUUUUCUCUUAAGGCAAAAUUGCAUAGCAUUAUGAAUAGGUUAAUAACUAUGUCAGAGUAUAGCAGAAGGUCAAAUCUAUCAAAGACGCACUUCUAGUCAUUAAGGAAGGUGAUGAAUGCUCUCCUUAGGCUCCCAAAAGAGCAUCACGGUUUUAUGAGUGCAUUGAAUACUCACAGAACCAAACUAAUUUUUGAUCAACUUCGUCUCUUCUAUUGUAAAAGGAAAUAGAAGUGCAGCGUCACUGUGAGCCGUACAACAUCCCCUUCCAGAGAUUAUAGUGCCCUGUAUGAAAAGCGUGACCGAGGGGAGGCCCUUUUCUUCUCCUUUCAGGGCCUAUAGGGGGUCGUUUCGAGCAAGCUUUUGCUUUUUCUCCUAGCUUUCUGAUGCUGUUGCACGCCGAUCCUCUACCAAAGUAUUGACGACACGCAUCAGUGCCCCCACUUGUGUUGUCAAAAGAUAGAUCUAAAGAACGACGAGGACAGCGAGGUGGUCAUCAUCCACAGCCUGGGCGUGGACAGCAUGGAGCCAUGGAGAAGCAUCGUAUCAACAUUUUCCACCUACACAACCUAGGCAUCCUCAACAAUACCCAUCUAUACAACUUCCUCAGUAUCGUCCUGAAUCAAUGAUGCCUCGCAUUGGGAUUCAGUGUCGAAUCUGUGGUAAAUUCAAUCACACUGCUCUGAAGUGUAAGCGGUUCAAUAGGCAGAGAUUCAACUAUACCUUUAUUGCGGAUGAGUAGAUGACAUACCACAAACUUUUGCUACCAUAAGCCUUCAAGAGCCUUCUGAGGAGGCGUGGUACCCUGACACUGACACUAGAGCAUCCAAUCAUAUGACCUCGGAUGCAGGUAUGCUUUCUAAUUGUAAAUCUUACUUAGGAACAGAUAAAAUAUUUGUUGGUGAUGAUCAUUUGCUUCCUAUUACUCAUACAAGUUAAUCUACUUUGAAUACUUCAUUGUAAAUCUUACUUAGGAACAGAUAAAAUAUUUGUUAGUAAUGAUCAUUUGCUUCCUAUUACUCAUACAAGUGAAUCUACUUUGAAUACUUCAUCCAAAUCCUUUCGUCUCACAAACAUUCUUGUUGUUCUCAAAUUAAGAAAAACUUGCUUUCUUUUCUAAAAUUUUGUAUGUGCUUUGGUUGCCUCAAAAGUUAAAAUGGUGACUUAUGGCAUAAAAGAUUAUCCAAAUUUGUUAAAGACAAUAAGAGAAUUUCAAGUUAAGAUUUCUCAUUGAAAUUCUUGUAAUGUCAUUAAACAUAUUAAACUUCCAUUUAAUAAAUCACAAUCUCAGUCUGUUUCUCCAUUUUAUUUAAUUCAUUCUGAUGUUUGGCAAUCACAUAUUUCUUCUAUCUGUGAUUGUAAAUAUUAUGUUGAUUUCGUGGAUGAUUUUGCUCGUUAUUCGUGAAUACAUCUUUUGAAACAUAAACAUGAGGUUUUUGAUAAAUUUGUUGAAUUUAAGGCUAUGAUUGAAAAUAAUUUUGAUAAUCAAAUUAAGCUUUUUCAAUCUGAUGGGGGAAAAAAAUUUGUCAAUAAGAAAUUUUCAUCUCUUUUUCGUCAAACUGGUAUUAUUUAUUGUAUUUCUUGACCUCAGACACCACAACAUAAUGGUGUAGCUGAACACAAACACAGACAUUUGAUGACAGGAUUAUUGCCUGUAUACCCCUCAAAACUUCAAAAAUAUCUAAUUUACCCAUACUUUUUUUUAUUUCCAAUAUACCCCUGAUAUGUUCCUCCAUUUUCAAAAAUACCUCCACAGUUACCACCUGUAAGUUAUCUCAAGUUAAACGUGCGUUAAAUAUCUACCAGAGUUAAAAAAAAUCAAAAUACCCCUUUUGCCCUUAACUUAAAGGCAAAUAAGAAAAGUUGGUGAUGGUAGAGCGAUAUAUUUGAAAAGACCAAAAAUCAAAAUACUUCUUUCGCCCCUAACUAAAGGGCAAAUAUGAAAAGUUGGUGAUGGUAAAAAGGUAUCUUUGAAAGGGCAAAAUUGUAAGUUCACAAAGAUAACAGCUAUUGCUACAGUUCACUAACAGAAUUUAACUCUAGGGGUAUAUUUGAAAUAACUUGAAACGUAAAAAGGGUAUUUUAAAUAUUAGCCUCCUAAGAGGGAUAAAUCAGAAAGUUGAGAACUUCUCAGGAAUAUAUAAGCAUUUGCCCUUUUGAUAAAUGUAGUGAGAACCAUUCUUUUCUAUUCUUGUAUGCCUCCUCAUUUUUGGACAGAUGUCCUUAUGCAAGCUGUUUUUCUUACUAAUCGUUAGCCUUCUGUUUUUAAAGAAAAGUGACCAUAUCAACUUUUAUUGGUCUUAAUCCGACAGACUUGCAACUUGUGAGAGUUUUCGAAUGCUUGUGUUAUCCUGACUUAUAGGACAUUGCGAGUCGCAAACUCUCCCCCCGUUCCCUACCUUGUGUUUACCUUGGCAUUUCUAAUAAACACAAGGGCUUCAUAUGUUUUUAUCCACAGAUCGAUAAAGUUUUUAUCUCUCGUCAUGUUACUUUUAUUGAGUGUUUUCCUUUUCCUUGCCUAGCUAAAUUCUCUCAAACUGAUAGCUCUAACUUUCAAAUGUUUCAAGAUUUUCCAACCCUCCUUUGUUAGGAAAUGAUCUUUCAACUCUUGAGGCCAUUGCAAGUUUUAGUUUUCUUCCCUCUGAAAAUUCUUUUACUAUUCAUUCUUCCUCCACUUCCAAUUUACUUGCUUCUGAAGCUAUAGAGAUCACUAAUAUCAACAAUAUUUUUUUUGGUCCAUUGACCGAAACUAAAAGUGCACCCACCAUUGUUGGUCAGAAAUAGCUCCGAGUGUACACCAAAAAAUAUGUUUCCAAAUAUUCUACUAUUGAACAAUUACCUUCCUCACCACAACUCAACCCCCAAUUACUAUAAGUCGACCCUGUAUCCUCUACAUCCACUUUACCAACCAACACUUCAACACCAACCACCAAUCACACCUCCCCUACCUAUAUCCUUCAGAACCCAUGAUAUGCUCACACGAUCCAUGACUAAGCAGCGGGAUACUUCCACCUCUCUCUUGGCUUCUUCACAAUCUACUCGUCCAAUUGAGCCUAACAAUUUUUCUAAAGCAUUUUGGGAUUCUGGUUGGUGUCAGGCCAUGCAAAAAGAAUUCCAAGAUCUUCUAACUCUACCUGUGACCUAGUUUCACCACCAACCUCUGUUAAUCUUAUUGGAUGUAAAUGGGUUUAUGAAGCAAAAGGCAGAAAGCAGACGGUUCGUUAGAGCGUUUGAAAACUCAUCUUGUUACACAAGGCUUCAAGCAACAACUAGGGAUCGAUUUUGAUAAGACUUUUUCUCCUAUCGUGAAGCCUACUACUAUUCGAAUAGUUAUUUCUGUUGCUUUAUCUUCUGGUUGGACUCUUCGCCAACUUGAUGUGAACAAUGCAUUUCUUCAUGGUGUUCCAAACAAAGAAGUUUAUAUGAAACAACCUCCUUAGCUUGUUCUUCAUUCAUUUCCUAAUCAUAUUUGCAGACUUCACAAGGCUAUUUAUGCAGGCACCUCGAGCUUGGUUUCAACGUUUACAUCUUUUUUUUUUAUCUGAGUUAGGAUUUACUGGAGUUCGGCUAAUCCUUCUGUGUUUAACUUCGAUAAUAAAGAAGGAAUUCUCAUUCUCUUUCUAUAUGUUGAUGAUAUCAUCAUCAUAGACAGCUCGUCCUCUAUGUUUAACCCCUUAAUGUUCACACUCCAAACAGAAUUUGCUAUCUAAGAUUCGGGACCUCUUCACUUUUUUUUGGAGCGAAAGUGACUACUUCAGCUCAUGGUCUUCGGCUGACUCAACAGAAAUAUGCUCAACAGCUUCUUGAGUGGCAUGGUAUGCUUUCCAGCAAGUCUGUUUCUACUCCGCUAUCAUCUACGACUCAGCUGUCUUCUCAUGAGGGUCGCCUACUUGAGGAUCCCUAUAUCCACCACUAGAUUGUUGGUGUGCUCCAACACCUUACCUUCACUAGACCGGAUACCUCAUAUGCCAUGAAUCUGGUUGCUCAGUUUCUACAAGCAUCUCGGGGCCCUCACCUUCAGACUGUUAAGCGUAUUCUACGUUAUAUCAUAAGGACAAUGAAUUAUAGCCUUCAUUUUUCACGUUGUACUUCUCUUAUCGCCUACUCUAAUGCUGAUUGGGCUAGUUGUCCUAACAUUCGACGUUCAACUUUUGAUUUCUAUGUUUUUCUUAGUUUCAAUCUAAUUUUGCGGUCUGCUAAGAAACAGCCGACAAUCUCUCGUUCUAGCUCUAAAGUUGAGUUUCGUAGUGUUGCAUUCACUCUUGUUGAGAGCAUUUGGAUCUCCUUCGGGAUCUUGGUGUGUCACUACGUCAUCCUCUCACUAUCUUUUGCGACAAUCUCAGUACAACAUAAAUAGCAGCCAAAUUCGGUAUUACAUGCACGGACAAAGCAUAUCAAACUAGACCAUCAUUUUUUGUGCGAGAAAAUGCAACUAGGUGAUCUCUCUUUAAUUUACAUUCCUUCCGAUAGAUAGUUGGCUAAUAUCUCCACAAAACCUUUGUCUACUGCUCACUUUACUGCACCUCGUAUCUAUCUUCACAUUCAACCUUGGAUGCUCAAAUUGCGGGGAGAUGUUAGAAUCUAAUCAUUUAUGUAUUUAUGUGAUUAGCACUAUUGCUAAUUGUACUUGUAAGGGGCCUAGUUUAAAACAACUUGUACUAUAAGGUACUUUUGUAAUUGUCUCAUUAUAUAUAUCCAAUGGAAACCCUAUUGGCAGCCUUUACAACUUUACCCAAUCUUUCACUUAUAAAUUGAUAAAAAUGUAUAACCUCUAAAAUGUAGGCUAUUUAAAUUCUAAAUCACCUCCUUAACUCAAAAAUAGAUGCAGUUGAAGGCAUUUAACCUACAAUAUAAACGUGGAGGGGCCUAUUUCAAAAUAGCCUAUAAUUAAGAAGGUGUUUGCAUUUUGUUUUUUCAACCAAAUGGUCUAACAGAAACCGACGGGCCUUCAAUACACACACGCACACACAAACACAGAGAGAUCCUACCAUUCACCACUCCUGCUCAGCACUGCCGUUGUGGUCGCCGAAGCUGCUGCUUUGGUGCUGCUACUAGAUCAAGGCUCAAGAGAGAAAAUAGGAAGGGGAAUCGAGAGGGAGAAGGGAUUCCUUUCACUUUUUAGUCUAAACCCGAACCGUUAAUGGACCCAUGACUCGAAAAACGCAUGCGGACUCCUAUACGGCUGCCUAAUAGAAGGCAGUACGCAUAUGUGGCCACCAUUGAUUAAAAAAGCGCGCCAUAGGCGCCUAGGCUCCAAGGCCGGCGCCUAGGCAGCCUCUAGGUGGGCGCCAUGGCCAAGGUGCACGCCUAGGCAGCCUAGGCGCCAAGGCACAAGGCGCCCACAAGGCGCGCCUCAGAGAGUAACAGAAAAGGGUUUCGAUCCAUUUUUAAUGGGCUUGGAUCCAUUUUUAAUGGAUUUGGAUCCAGUUUUUAUGGGUCUAACAGGUUGAAAUAUUUAAAAUAAAAUCCAAAACCUAAACUAAACCCUAUACUAAAUCCCUCUCCUCUGUUCGCUUGCCCUCACCUCCCGCUCGCCCGCUCCUCCCGCUCGCCCUCUCCUCCUAUUCGCCCGCUCCUCCCGCUCGCCCC
rnacentral:lncRNA from 1 species